GCCUGUGUUACUGGGAGGGAGAGGGGGAGCGAGAGGAAUCGAUCAUCAAAUUAAAUAACUUUUUAAACAACGCUACCCUAGACAUGCUAAAUCCUGCUGAGAAUAAACGCUAACAAAGGAUCAAUCCGUUAACAUUGCGAGGAGACAUUGAUUAGUUUGUUGUAAAUGUAUCAUAGUAAGUAGUCCUAUGUAGACCAACACGCCCUUAUGUUACUCUGAGUAGUGGUGAGAGGAGGUUUUUGGCGAGGGACCUCCCAAUGUGAUCAUCCACGGUCAUAACAUCACCUAACAUGAAGUCAGUUAUUUUUUGUUGGACGUUGCAAACUCAAUCUCAGGGUUAGUUUUGACAACGAUAGUUUGAUAGUUGCUUUCAUAGUCGAAGGACUCGCUAUGAACAGACACGCGCAGGUUCCAUAAGCACAGCCAUUCUCUCUCUCUCUCUCUCUCUCUCUCUCUCUCUCUCUCUCUCUCGCUGGUCUCCGCAGUUCGCACACACUUCAGUUGUACCGAAAUGAUGACGUUUGACAUUAGGAAGGGCAGUCCAACGAAAAGAGACCGGUAGCCUAUAUUUUCACAACUACUGUAGUAUAAAAAGUGAAACAAAUGCUUCUAAACGGAUAGCAAUUGCAAGGAGUAGAAAUGUUUACAUAAUAAUCAAGUGUAAAAGUACAACUUCUUAAACUUUAUCCAUGUCAAAUUAUUCACAAUGUUUUGUGCAUAAUGAAGGUGUUCUGCUUCUGCCUACUGCAGGAGUUGAGAAAAGGCGGUAACUGCUUACCUCUCAUGUAAGCUACAGCCUAUGUGGUGUGUGGCAAGUCAUAUUAAUGACCAAGAAUGACUUACUUGUAACUUAAUUGUUAUGUGCUUUUAAUAUGUGUUUCAGGCAGUGGUGUUGCAUCUUUUAUAUGCAUGGUUGUCCUGAAGUCAUUCUGGAACAGGGGUUGUGUUCAGGUGCGUGACAACUGACAACAUUGAGAAGACCCAGGAGCGGGAGAAGGGCAGCCUGAUGAAAGAAGGCGACAGUGUUCUGUGGUCACACCUGAGAUGAUGGUCCUGAAGAGGAACGAGAGGAGAUACUGGGCAUAUAAAUACAGGCACUGGGCAUCACAGUGGAGGACAAUCAUGAAAAGGUUGAAGACUUCACUGUGCCCAUCCCUGAAGUCCCUCCACUCGGUGCAGCAGCUCUUUCCACCAUACUGCCAUGCUCUGGGUUGUCCCUGCCACCAUCCACCUUUUGGGUCAUCCGUGCCGCCAGCCAUCACCGUGCCUGCAGCGCCUGGGUCAUCCGUGCCACUCCCCACCAUGCUGCCAGCCAUCACUGUGCCUGCAGCACCUGGGUCAUCCCUGCCACCAUCCACCGUGCCUUCAACGUCCACAGCACCUCCGGUCUCUGUGAGCCACUUUGCAGCUCUACUGACCUCUCCAGUAUACAGUAUGCUGUAAUUGCUAAUGGUUUCUCUGAGUGGCCUGACCGGUUAAUUGUCCCGUAUCCCAACUAUUUACCACUAAACAAGUGAUUUUGUAAUAAGUAGGAGAUCUUUGCAAUGUUAUCAGUAUGGUUGGACUCUGAUGUUUCACUGCUGUAUGUCUUCCUCAAAGAGUAAACCGAAUUCUGAGUAUUCUUGGAUUUAGUCUUUGAAAAGUAGAGCAGCCGUUUGUUUGAAACUGUUGUCCUGGACACCAAAUAGACUGGAACUGAUAUCCUUUUUUAAAAGAAACUGGUAUCCUUUUUAUGUGUGCAGUUUAAUGGUAGAACAGUAUACACUGAUGUGCCUUUAUCAGUAACAAAGUGAAAACGGAACAAAAUUUGACUAUUUCUGUCAAAAACUGCUACAAAUUCUACAUGUUGUUUAUAUAAACCUAGUUCUGGAGGAAGUCUGAGAGUUAUUGACAGUUGCCAUGUCAAGCUUCCGCCUUCGCGUAAAUUUAAAUCCCACCUUCCCUCCUUCCCCUGUCAUGCGCAAAGGCUAUCCUAAUUGUCCCAGCACCUCCCCCUACUCCCUCAUCUCACUGGAUCACCCAGCUACAUGUCCCCUACACUUAUGGAGUGGAAGCGGAUCUCGUGCCGCAUGAUCUCCGCAGGGUCCCAGGACAGAGGCCAGCUAACAUCGAAUUAUGCCUAUUGACUAUGGUUACCAUACUCCAGGGCAAACUCGUGAAUUAAAUGGUCCUGUUGUUAA